rnacentral:rRNA from 1 species
UACGUAGGGUGCAAGCGUUAAUCGGAAUUACUGGGCGUAAAGCGUGCGCAGGCGGUGAUGUAAGACAGGUGUGAAAUCCCCGGGCUUAACCUGGGAACUGCAUUUGUGACUGCAUCGCUGGAGUGCGGCAGAGGGGAUGGAAUUCCGCGUGUAGCAGUGAAAUGCGUAGAUAUGCGGAGGAACACCGAUGGCGAAGGCAAUCCCCUGGGCCUGCACUGACGCUCAUGCACGAAAGCGUGGGGAGCAAACAGGG